rnacentral:rRNA from 1 species
CAGCCGCGCGGGUAAUACGAAGGGUGCAAGCGUUACUCGGAAUUACUGGGCGUAAAGCGUGCGUAGGUGGUGGUUUAAGUCCGUUGUGAAAGCCCUGGGCUCAACCUGGGAAUUGCAGUGGAUACUGGGUCACUAGAGUGUGGUAGAGGAUAGUGGAAUUUCCGGUGUAGCAGUGAAAUGCGUAGAGAUCGGAAGGAACAUCUGUGGCGAAGGCGACUAUCUGGGCCAACACUGACACUGAGGCACGAAAGCGUGGGGAGCAAACAGGAUUAGAUACCCCCGUAGUCCCUGUCUCUUAUAC